AAACCUCAUUAUAACUGUCUUUGAGUGUCCUACAUUCAGACAUGAGGUCAUGUUCAGUCAGAAGGUCAAUGUUAAAAACAAUGGAAUUGGCCUUCCUAGUAAAAGCUGCUUGCACAGAGGACCGCCUUUUCUUUAAUUCUUCUCGGCAUGUCAUACUGACUUCUCUCCUCGUUUUAUUACCGGCGUUAUUCCUUUUGCCCUCAACAAAGAUGGCGGCGACCCACUUCCGGUCGCUUAGCGGCUAGUAACUGAAUUAAAAGUUCGUUUUCGGCGGCUGGUUUAUCCUAUGCCAGCGCCCUAAUAGUCCCAGCAAAGAAAUCCACACACAGUCUCUCACGUACGAGGGCUCAACGGUGUUUUGAGAGCGAAGUCACGUCGAUCGGCCGUGACAAUCGGCCGGGCUCCGUCUAAUCGCUGGAUUCUCCGUAGUCGACACAGACCCUCCUCCGCUUCUCCGUCGCGGGGACUGGCUAAGUGUUGAUUACUCACUCCUAAUCGUGUUUUUGUGUGUAAAGAAGAAGAUUAAGAAUGUGCAACAAGAUAAGGGCAUGUACAACCAAGAAGGAGGGAGUUCUUCAUGCAAGGCUGAGCCCACUUGUCCCCAGUCAGAUAAUAUAGUAGUGGCAGACGCAGGCGACAAUGCAGAUAUUGGAGACUGUCCUAGUAAUGACAUAUGAUGUGUCUACCAUGCUGUAAAAUGCUGAUGGGGUAUUGUCACCAAGCCGCAGGCUAUGCAGGCAGACGGGAGGCGUGGACACCCAAGUUAUGUGAAUGCAGUCCAGCUGUUAAGUGAUGACAUAUACACCAUGCUACUGGAUCCCAACUACACUGUGUUCUUUAAGGCUGUUGUCUUUUUAAUGUGUUUUAAUGCUUCGUGUCUCGUUCUAUUUAAUCUGAAAUAGCCCCUAAAAAUAGUCUGGCCUCUCUGGGUUUAUAUUAGCACUAUUCUGCAGCACGUUUUAAAGCUCAGUUUUAAAACCUUACGAUGUAGCUACAGCCCAUCGACUCAGGAUUUGCCAGACAUAUUUUAACAAUAUUUUAACUGGUGAGAAAAUACACUCUGAGGCUUAUAAAGAUUUAAAUGGGUAUAUGAAGCUCAGGAUCAGGAAUUUUUGAUAGCGAAGAAUCCAAAGGAUAUUAAUGUGUAUAUAUUCAUCCAUCCACUUCCGCUUAUCCUUUUCAGGGUCACGGGGGGCACUGGAGCCUGUCCCAGGGCAAGAGGCAGGGUACACCCUGGACAGGUCGCCAGUCUGUCAGAGACAGACAACCAUUCGCACUCA